rnacentral:sRNA from 1 species
ACCUGAAAUCAGCGUAACCCUAACGUUUGUAGGUGA